rnacentral:rRNA from 1 species
AAAGAACUAACAAGGAUUUCCUUAGUAACGGCGAGCGAACUGGAAAGAGCCCAGCUUGAGAAUCGCGCGACUCCGUUGCGCGAAUUGUAGUCUGGAGAAGCGUCCUCUGCAACGGACCGGGCCCAAGUUCCCUGGAAUGGGACGUCGGAGAGGGUGAGAGCCCCGUCGAGCUCGGACCCUGUUGCUCCACGAGGCGCUGUCUGCGAGUCGGGCUGUUUGGGAAUGCAGCCCCAAGCGGGUGGUAAAUUCCAUCCAAGGCUAAAUACGGGCAAGAGACCGAUAGCGAACAAGUACCGCGAGGGAAAGAUGAAAAGGACUUUGAAAAGAGAGUUAAAAAGUGCUUGAAAUUGCUGGGAGGGAAGCGAAUGGAGGCUGCGGGUGCGCCCCGGUUGGAUGCGGAACGGCGUGAGCUGGUCCGCCGCUCAACGCGGGGCGCUGGUCAGCGUGGGCAGGCACUGCGGGACAAGAGCUCGGGCCUCAAAAGCCCUUGCCGAUGCCGCGGAGCCUGCCGAAGGAUUCAAGCGCGCGUCACUCGUGGCGGGCCUUCGGGCACCUGCGCGCUCGGGACGCUGGCGAUUCGGGCUUUCCAUCCGACCCGUCUUGAAACACGGACCAAGGAGUCUAGCAUGUGUGCGAGCCCGUGGGCGACAAACCCAUCGAGGCGCAAGGAAACUGACAGGUGGGAUCCCUCUUCGCGGGGGUGCACCAUCGACCGACCAUGAUCUUCUGUGAAAGGUUCGAGUGUGAGCAUACCUGCUGGGACCCGAAAGAUGGUGAACUAUGCCUGAGCAGGGCGAAGCCAGAGGAAACUCUGGUGGAGGCUCGUAGCGAUACUGACGUGCAAAUCGUUCGUCAGACUUGGGUAUGGGGGCGAAAGACUAAUCGAACCAUCUAGUAGCUGGUUCCCUCCGAAGUUUCCCUCAGGAUAGCUGGAGCUCGUCGAGUUUUAUCAGGUAAAGCGAAUGAUUAGAGGCCUCGGGGGCUAAACGCCCUCGACCUAUUCUCAAACUUUAAAUAGGUAAGCUGCCGGGGUUGCUCCGAUGAACCCCGGCUCGGAAUGGGAG